GCUCUCGGUGGCUCAGGUGGAUAGAGCGUCUGCCAUGUAAGCGGAAAAUCCCGGGUUCGAUUCCCGGUCGGAGCA